rnacentral:rRNA from 1 species
UACGGAGGGUGCGAGCGUUGUCCGGAAUCAUUGGGCGUAAAGGGCGCGUAGGUGGCCUGGUCAGCGUGCGGUGAAAGCUCGGGGCUCAACCCCGAGUCGGCCGUGCGAACUGCUGGGCUUGAGCACUGUAGAGGCAGGCGGAAUUCCGGGUGUAGCGGUGGAAUGCGUAGAGAUCCGGAAGAACACCGGUGGCGAAGGCGGCCUGCUGGGCAGUGGCUGACGCUGAGGCGCGACAGCGUGGGGAGCAAACAGG